rnacentral:rRNA from 1 species
GGGUGCGAUCAUACCAGCACUAAUGCACCGGAUCCAAUCAGAACUCUGCAGUUAAGCGUGCUUGGGCGAGAGUAGUACUAGGAUGGGUGACCUCCUGGGAAGUCCUCGUGUUGCACCCC